UACGUAGGGGGCAAGCGUUGUCCGGAUUUAUUGGGCGUAAAGAGCGUGUAGGCGGCUUGGAAGGUCAGCUGUGAAAACUCGAGGCUCAACCUCGAGACGUCGGUUGAAACCACCUGGCUAGAGUCCGGAAGAGGAGAGUGGAAUUCCCGGUGUAGCGGUGAAAUGCGCAGAUAUCGGGAGGAACACCGGUGGCGAAGGCGGCUUCCUGGACCGACACUGACGCUGAGGCGCGAAAGCUAGGGGAGCAAACGGG
rnacentral:rRNA from 1 species